AUUUUUAGUCUUAUUUUUAUUUAGACGGAGUUAUGACUCGAGAAUCAGUUUUGAUUAAAGAAGCGUGGAUGAAGCAAGGAAUAAAUCCUCUAAGAUGUGACGCGAUGAUGCCGAACCAGGCUGCUUGCUGUCCUUUUAACAGAAAUAAAACAUCAGCGGUUGACCCAGGUCGGCAGUUUAUGCGGUUGGUAAUAAAAAAUGAUGGUAUGUGCUCGGUUGGAUCGACGGAAGUCAAUAAAAUUGAUCACUCGAGAUAUCAUCGAUCCAAGAAAAAGAAGUUGACAAAGGAACCUGAACACAUGUUUGAGAUGAGUAAACAGAGUAGAGACUUGAAGGAGAACCAGGGAAACCUGGAGUACAAUCGCAAAUCUUCUGACAUGAAUCUUCUCUCUGGCUCAGAACCAAGAAAUCAGGCAUAUAAUCCCUCGGACAAUCCCAGAAAAUUUCAGUUGAGGAACAUAGAGAGUUUGCUCCAGCAAUACAAUAAUGCACCAAGUUCUCCGGAGUAUGACAAACAGGAAUCAAUCCGUGAGCAGAUCUCCAGUCUAUAUGAUACCUGGGUAAGAAUAGCGGAUGGGUUCAGGCCAGACGAGAUAAGGAAGUGCGGAGACGAAACUAGGGACAGAGAACAGAAGUCGAAAAGGAAAGAGCAUAAUAAUGCGGAGAAAAUUAGAAGGAUUCAACAGGCUAAAUCUUUUAAAGAUCUAAGCUGUCUAAUACCAGACUUCUACAACAGUGGAAAGGAGCGGGACUUCCAAGAUAAGAAUCCUGACAGCAGCAAAGAAGCAUUGUCUUGUUCUUCAACGCACUCUCCAGGCUGUAGAAUUCGAACUGAAAUUAGAACAAAGAAGGAACUUGGAUCUCCUGGAAACUAAAAAACAAUUGAACCAGCUGGUUUAAAUGUGCAUCCAGUUUGAGGCUUUAGCUUUAAAAGAAUAAACAAUGAUUUUAAGCCACAAACUGUUUUCCGGAUUACUUAUGUAAGGAAGGGAACUGCUUUAAUUCUGUGAAUCAAACCAAUUGGUAAAUGUGAUUAAUAAACAUUGCAGUAGUCUGACAAAGUACCCUGUGGAGACUUAUAAGUUCGAUACUUAGAAUCCUAAAUGUAGAACUACUUUAUUUAGUAUUGAAAUAGUUUCUACUAUAAAGUAAUAGUAUUGAAAUAGUUUCUUUUACUUUAUAUUGAAAUAGUUGAAAUAGUGUUGAAAAAGAAAAUUUAGCAAUUAGUUCAAUAUUGAUAAUUUUUCCAGUUUAUGCUUUACUAACUGGAGAAGUGGAUUAAAGGCCUAAAAUCCCAACGACAUGUGAAUACUUACACAAUAUUUUUAAUUUGUAUCAUAAUUUGAUCUCACUUAGUAUUAUUUGCAUAGAGAAUAGAAUAUAUAUUAGAGAGGAAUUUAAAUAAUCUCUCGGUAUG
rnacentral:misc_RNA from 1 species